rnacentral:rRNA from 1 species
CACGUAGGGGGCAAGCGUUGUCCGGAUUUAUUGGGCGUAAAGAGCUCGUAGGCGGCUCGGUAAGUCGGGUGUGAAAUUUCGAGGCUCAACCUCGAAACGCCACCCGAUACUGCUGUGGCUAGAGUCCGGUAGGGGAGCGUGGAAUUCCUGGUGUAGCGGUGAAAUGCGCAGAUAUCAGGAGGAACACCAGCGGCGAAGGCGGCGCUCUGGGCCGGUACUGACGCUGAGGAGCGAAAGCGUGGGGAGCGAACAGG